rnacentral:rRNA from 1 species
UACGUAGGGUGCAAGCGUUAAUCGGAAUUACUGGGCGUAAAGCGUGCGCAGGCGGUUAUGUAAGACAGUUGUGAAAUCCCCGGGCUCAACCUGGGGAAUUGCAUCUGUGACUGCAUAGCUAGAGUACGGUAGAGGGGGAUGGAAUUCCGCGUGUAGCAGUGAAAUGCGUAGAUAUGCGGAGGAACACCGAUGGCGAAGGCAAUCCCCUGGACCUGUACUGACGCUCAUGCACGAAAGCGUGGGGAGCAAACAGG